rnacentral:tRNA from 1 species
UUUAGGAUCCUAUAAAAUAGAGUAAUUCUAUAAAUAGUUAAAUAAUUGGAAUAUAAUCUAAUUGUUUUGUGAUUUUA